UAUUUUCUAUAUUUUCUACAUGGUAUCAAAGGUUAGUUGGGAAGCUCAUAUAUUUGGCACGUACGAGACCAAAUAUAAAUUUUGCAGUCAGCACAGUGAGCCAGUUUAUGAGUCAACCAACUAACACACACAUGGGAACUGUGUACAAGAUUCUCAGGUAUCUAAAGAAAAUACUAGGACAAUGUCUAUUUUUCCAAAAGAACACAGACAUGGAGAUAGGAGUUUAUAGUAGAAAAUGUAGAAUAUAACUGUUAUUCUAGAAGGAAAACAACUAUCAUCUCUUUUGUCUUUUCUUGUGUACUGUAGAAAGGAGAAUAACAGAAUUGGUGGUGUGUCAUUUAUACCAAUUCUGAAUAUUCCCUUACCCCACAAAAUCUGGCUCUGGUGUAGAAAAGUUAUUAUUUAUUUGUGUAUAAAUAUGCUCCUUUGGAGCUGGAAAAUGAAAGUAGAAAAUAGAGGAAAAACUUCCCUCAAAAUAGCUUCAUAAUUUCUUUAGUAUUCUCACUAUGGACAAAUUAAGAAGGAGGGGGCAGUUUAUUGUUAACAUAUGCUACCUUUGUAUGUGUAGAGAGGAAACUUGCAAUCACUUACUUUUAUGGUGCCCCCUGACCUAUAGUGUGUGGUGCAUAAUUUAUGGGCUGCUGGGGAUUAAUUGGGUUGUGGCUGGGAAUGUUAGGGAUGAAAUUUGAGCUUGGGAGGGGCUUAAGAUCAAUGGUUGUGUUCCUACUUUGGUUCCAUUGACCGUGUUUUGGGUUAUUUGGAAAGAACGAAAUGUUAGAGCAUUUAAGGGGAAAGGAGUAGGAUUAUAUAAAUUAAGAGAUAGAUGGUUUAAUUAUUUUGGGACAAACUUGUUAGGGCGUGAUAUGAUGAAUGAGGAGGAUUUUGAGAUUGUCAUUGAUAUGCUUACUACUCUAUAAUUCUUUUGUAAAUGGGUUGGUACCCCUGUUUUGGUACCAUGUUAAUAUACUAAUACAUUUGAAUUUUUUUUAAAAAAAAUUCAAAUGUUAGAAGACUAUGCUGUGUUAACAUAAUCGAAAUAGAAUUCACACAGUAAUUUUGAUGGAUCAAUCCUGAUUGCUUUCCACUUGUUAAUUUGGAAGUGGUGAAAAAUGUUAGCUUCUGUUUGGUAGACAAAAACAUCUUGUAAUUUUUUCCUUUGCAAAUUCAUGUAUGUUUGUGCAUAUAUUAGAAACCAUAGAGGAUGGUAUAUGUAUGGCACUCUAGAAAUGAUAUAGGAUAGUUUGUAUAUUGUGUGGCACUCCAAGCAUAAACAAAAACAAUUUUUUAUCUUAAUUAAAAUUUUACCACAUUUAUACUGUUAUUUUGUAAAUGUUGUUUUGAUUUUGAUGCAUAAAAAUAUGGUCAGUUGCAAAACAUAAAAUACAAAUUAUUUCGUAUACCAAAUGAAGACUUAAACAUGAUGGUAGAUUCUUCGAGAUUUUUUUUUCUCAUGUAGAUUCAGCAUUUUCAUUUUCUAUGCUUAAACAGAUGUUACCAGUGUUGCACAAUUUCUUUAGUUUUAGAAGAACCAAUGUUGGUUGUUUUUUGCUUAAGAGAAAUUACUGACUACUCCUAAGGUUUGGAGAUGUGCUUUCCUUAAGUAUUUGAAAGGCCAGUAUUAGGCCAUUCGAGGACUAUCAUUAUCUCUUUUGUUUGCAGAGAAGAGAGUUAUAUUUGUUUGUAUGAAACUACUAGGCUGAUUCUGUAAGCUCUGUGAACUACGUUGUUUUGGAUUUAUUCUUCUGGUAUACAAAAAGAGUUUAUUUGUCUAGUAUUUAAUUGUUAUUUCAAUUCAGAAAUGCUAAUAAAUCAGAGAGGAAUAUCUGGAACGAAUAUUGGAUAUUGUGAAGCUGUUACAUAUCAUAAAGUUCAGUAAUUCUGAUAAAGUAUAUUUUCAUGCUUUUUGAAUGUGCUUUCAGACCAUUUCUAGUUCUGUUAUAAUGGUGCAUUGAACUAGUGAGAAUUGCUUCAUAAGGACAAUGCCAAUUGUCUCUCUAUUAAAAACAGAUCUGAAUUCGGUUUUGACUUGCCAACUUUAGAGUUUGUUAACAAGCAUGAGACCUGGAUUCCAAAUACUUCUAAAGUUAUUGUCUUACAGGUUCAAGAGCAACUUAGUGCCACUGAAUAUAAGGAAUUUGUGGGAUACAUGAAGACAAUUAAAUCCAAAACAAUGAAGAUUGGUGAUGUUCUGCAGUCCAUUGUUGAAUUAUUCUCUGGACCUGAGAGACAUUCUCUUCUUAGAAGAUUCAAGGAUUAUGUACCUGCCAAGUAUCACUCCUUAUAUGAGAAGUGUGUUGAACAGGUAAUGAACUAUUGAGAAAUCAAAUUACAAAAUCGUCGCAACAAUUUACGUAUCCAAGGACUUGAUGCGGUCAAGUUGAUUCAGAGACUGUCAAGAAGAAAAAUAUUAUGGCAAGGACCAGGAUCAUUAUAAGUUAUACUGUUGAGAAGGAUGAUACUUAAUUUACCCCAGGAAAAACAUUCUUGGUUAGCUGCUAACUUUUUCUGGCACUAGAGGGUGCAUGCAUGGCACAAGUAAAAGCAGCAGUCCUGACAAAUUGACCAAGAGUUAUUCUAUAUUAUGAUUUAGUGCUCUAGUUUGUGAGUUUACUGCAGCGGAGUCCAUUCUUUUUGGAGAGUAAUGCUUGGAACAGUGACAAAGAUUUGGCUACCUUUUCUACUCCUGCUCUCUGGUGACGGAGACUUUAGAUUGCCAAGAUUCUUGGACAAUUGAGUCAAUAUUGGUGCUUAUAUUCUUGUGAAGGUUGCUUAUAAUCAUAGAGCUGACGGAUGUACUACCAUGGAUAUAGAAAUUGCAUUCGUGGAGUUAGUUCUAUUGUGUUUUUUUAAAAGAAGGUUUAUGUACAUUGGUGGUGAACAUACAUUCCACCUUUAGAAGAAAAACGCAAAUUAGAUAAUGGGUUUUGUUAUAUAUUCUAUUAAAAUAUUGAUCAACUAUGAAGAGAUUGAAUGAUGAUUUCCUGAAUUACAUAAA